AACUGAUGAGAUGAUAACGCUAAUGCAGUUAUAUUAGAGAACGACAUGAGGUGCUCCGUAUCUUUUGUGACUAUAACGUAACGACAUAGAGGAUACCGCUUGUUGCACUUCUGUUUCAUCAUUAGAUCGGCCUUGAAUAAUUGGGUGUAAUUGAUCCUCCUUUUUUUUUACCCGAAUAAUUAUUCCUCUUGAUUUGUUCCUACUUCAUUAGAGUGUACACCUCCAAAUUGUUAAUAGGAAUUAAGCAUGCGUGGACUAAAGGUGAUUGUACUAUCUUCAAUCCUACGAGUGCUAGCAGGGAAAGCAACGUAGGAGCAGUAUUCUACUGCUACUAGCAACAGAUUGCGGAGGAGCCAGGGCACUCAUAUGUCGAGGUUCGGCAAAACAGAAAAAGAAAAAAAAGAAGUCAAAGUGGAUACCCGGAUAAGUCAAACUCUGACCCCCGCGUCGCCCUCCUUUGGCGACCCGGGGGAACCCUAGGCGCCGCCGGCCCAAGCCCUCCCCCAUCUCCUUCCCUCGCAUCGCCGCCGCCGGAGGGGUGCCAAGGUGGCGGCGGGGCGGUUUUCUUCCCCUUCGCGCGUGGAAGCGGUGGUUCUGCACGGGGCGG
rnacentral:lncRNA from 1 species